rnacentral:misc_RNA from 1 species
GAAAUGCGAUAAGUAGUGUGAAUUGCAGAAUUCAGUGAAUCAUCGAGUCUUUGAACGCACAUUGCGCCCCCUGGCAUUCCGGGGGGCAUGCCUGUCCGAGCGUCAUUGCUGCCCUUCAAGCCCGGCUUGUGUGUUGGGUCGUCGUCCCCUCCGGGGGACGGGCCCGAAAGGCAGCGGCGGCACCGCGUCCGGUCCUCGAGCGUAUGGGGCUUUGUCACCCGCUCGAUAAGGACCGGCCGGGCGCCAGCCGGCGUCUCCAACCUUUUUUUCUCAGGUUGACCUCGGAUCAGGUAGGGAUACCCGCUGAACUUAAGC